UUACCUUCGGGUAAUGAGGAUGGCGGACGGGUGAGUAACGCGUAAGGAACUUGCCUCUUGGACUGGGACAACUGUUGGAAACGACAGCUAAUACCGGAUAUUAUGAGAUUCUCGCAUGAGAAAUUUAUGAAAGCUAUAUGCGCCAAGAGAGAGCCUUGCGUUCCAUUAGCUAGUUGGUGGGGUAACGGCCCACCAAGGCGACGAUGGAUAGCCGGCCUGAGAGGGUGAACGGCCACAAGGGGACUGAGACACGGCCCUUACUCCUACGGGAGGCAGCAGUGGGGAAUAUUGGACAAUGGGCCACAAGCCUGAUCCAGCAAUUCUGUGUGCACGAUGAAGGUCUUCGGAUUGUAAAGUGCUUUCAGUUGGGAAGAAGAAAGUGACGGUACCAACAGAAGAAGCGACGGCUAAAUACGUGCCAGCAGCCGCGGUAAUACGUAUGUCGCAAGCGUUAUCCGGAUUUAUUGGGCGUAAAGCGCGUCUAGGCGGAAAAAUAAGUCUGAUGUUAAAAUGCGGGGCUCAACUCCGUAUUGCGUUGGAAACUGUUUUUCUAGAGUACUGGAGAGGUGGGCGGAACUACAAGUGUAGAGGUGAAAUUCGUAGAUAUUUGUAGGAAUGCCGAUGGAGAAGUCAGCUCACUGGACAGAUACUGACGCUGAA
rnacentral:rRNA from 1 species